rnacentral:rRNA from 1 species
UACGUAGGGUGCAAGCGUUGUCCGGAUUUAUUGGGCGUAAAGGGCUUUUAGGCGGCUUAGCAAGUCGGGUGUGAAACCUCCAGGCUCAACCUGGAGUCGCCAUUCGAUACUGCUAUGGCUAGAGUCUGGUAGGGGAUCACGGAAUUCCUGGUGUAGCGGUGAAAUGCAUAGAUAUCAGGAGGAACACCGGUGGCGAAGGCGGUGAUCUGGGCCAGUACUGACGCUGAAGAGCGAAAGCGUGGGUAGCGAACAGG